rnacentral:rRNA from 1 species
AUUGAACGCUGGCGGCAGGCCUAACACAUGCAAGUCGAGCGGAAACGAGUUAUCUGAACCUUCGGGGGACGAUAACGGCGUCGAGCGGCGGACGGGUGAGUAAUGCCUAGGAAAUUGCCCUGAUGUGGGGGAUAACCAUUGGAAACGAUGGCUAAUACCGCAUGAUGCCUACGGGCCAAAGAGGGGGACCUUCGGGCCUCUCGCGUCAGGAUAUGCCUAGGUGGGAUUAGCUAGUUGGUGAGGUAAGGGCUCACCAAGGCGACGAUCCCUAGCUGGUCUGAGAGGAUGAUCAGCCACACUGGAACUGAGACACGGUCCAGACUCCUACGGGAGGCAGCAGUGGGGAAUAUUGCACAAUGGGCGCAAGCCUGAUGCAGCCAUGCCGCGUGUGUGAAGAAGGCCUUCGGGUUGUAAAGCACUUUCAGUCGUGAGGAAGGUAGUGUAGUUAAUAGCUGCAUUAUUUGACGUUAGCGACAGAAGAAGCACCGGCUAACUCCGUGCCAGCAGCCGCGGUAAUACGGAGGGUGCGAGCGUUAAUCGGAAUUACUGGGCGUAAAGCGCAUGCAGGUGGUUUGUUAAGUCAGAUGUGAAAGCCCGGGGCUCAACCUCGGAAUAGCAUUUGAAACUGGCAGACUAGAGUACUGUAGAGGGGGGUAGAAUUUCAGGUGUAGCGGUGAAAUGCGUAGAGAUCUGAAGGAAUACCGGUGGCGAAGGCGGCCCCCUGGACAGAUACUGACACUCAGAUGCGAAAGCGUGGGGAGCAAACAGGAUUAGAUACCCUGGUAGUCCACGCCGUAAACGAUGUCUACUUGGAGGUUGUGGCCUUGAGCCGUGGCUUUCGGAGCUAACGCGUUAAGUAGACCGCCUGGGGAGUACGGUCGCAAGAUUAAAACUCAAAUGAAUUGACGGGGGCCCGCACAAGCGGUGGAGCAUGUGGUUUAAUUCGAUGCAACGCGAAGAACCUUACCUACUCUUGACAUCCAGAGAACUUUCCAGAGAUGGAUUGGUGCCUUCGGGAACUCUGAGACAGGUGCUGCAUGGCUGUCGUCAGUUCGUGUUGUGAAAUGUUGGGUUAAGUCCCGCAACGAGCGCAACCCUUAUCCUUGUUUGCCAGCGAGUAAUGUCGGGAACUCCAGGGAGACUGCCGGUGAUAAACCGGAGGAAGGUGGGGACGACGUCAAGUCAUCAUGGCCCUUACGAGUAGGGCUACACACGUGCUACAAUGGCGCAUACAGAGGGCGGCCAACUUGCGAAAGUGAGCGAAUCCCAAAAAGUGCGUCGUAGUCCGGAUUGGAGUCUGCAACUCGACUCCAUGAAGUCGGAAUUGCUAGUAAUCGUGGAUCAGAAUGCCACGGUGAAUACGUUCCCGGGCCU